CCUCUCCGGCGUGUGCGGUUUCCCCAGUCACCGCUCCGGGAGCUCGUCCUGUAGCAUCUGCCGGUGCGUUCCAUGCCUGUGUAUCAGGUUUUCAGGUUGUGGUUAGCUGCUGCACAAACUCGGUUGAAAUGAUAUGUCUCACCCAGUAGACUCAGCACUUUGUGUGUUUUUCAUUUGCGCGCACUGUGGUUGCCUUCAGGUCUUCAAAUUUCCUGGUAUCCUCCACCUCCUCUACCCAUCUUUUAAUUGGGGGAGUGCACAGUGGUCUCCAAUAGAUGGGGAUGAUAGCUUUCACCGCCCUCCAGA